rnacentral:lncRNA from 1 species
CUAUGUUAUUUACAGCAUGUACUUGGUACAGAUUACAGUCACUCAGAUGAAGGGGGAGAAAAAAGGGAACUAGAAGUAAUAAUAAAAUGGAAAAAAAAAAAAAAAGCAGGAAAGCAAUUGAAGGACAGCACGGUGUGCUGCACAAAGAUUCAAAUAAGGAACUUGCAGUGCAACAUGUUUGUGCACACAUGCAUAGAAAAUCAUAUUUUGCUUUUGAUCAAUUGCACAGAGCAAAAAUACGGGUUAUGCAGAACAGCAGCACAAAAUAAACCUGCUAUGGAAAUGUAACUCAAUCAUGACCUCUGAUUGCCAGCUUCUCCCAUGUGCAGCAUCGCUGACUCAGAGGCAGGAAGUGCUAUUCUAGCUACCUGUUCCUACUCACUCUGUAUUUACAGACCUCAAGUAAAAUCACAACCUGCUCCGCACCCACUUCACCCCACCCUCAUAGCCAAAGCCAGCUACAGAUUGGCACGGAGUUGCACUUGUUGUCACGCUCCCUCCCCAUGGUUUACAUUUGCUCCGAGAUGUUCUGGGUAUUUCCUAUCUCAGUUUCUGCUUUCCACUGUGGGUUGCCUCCCCAUGGAACGAUUUAUUAUUACUCCAGUCUCUACCGACAACGCAAACAAAGCAGGUACAAGCUGACGCAACUCUGGAAAGUGCUGUACCAAACACUGAUGCAACCCCCCGGAGAGAUGCGAUUACUCCCCCGGAGUGUGUGGGAUGAGGAUGCCCUGCUUGCUCUCAUCUUGACUCUUGCUUUCGCCUUUGCCUGCCAGCACAAAACCUGGCACCGCUCUGUAACUCACGCCUUCCCAGUCUGCGGCUUGGAAGAGCUCUGGUUGUGCCCCGUCGCCAAAUGUUCCCAGCAGGGAAUGCAGGAGGUUCUGAACUCAGCCAGCAAGAUUCUCUGGUCAUUUUAUACACACACCCUUACUUUACUACCUUAUGGACCCCUGAAAAAGCCUCUCUCCCAUGUUUGAGCAGAAAGGAAACCAAGUACAAGUUUCUGAAAACAAACAGGCCCUUUAAAUUAAGGUCUACAAAAUUAUUAGCCUUGUAUGAAAGCCAAUAUCUUGCAUAGUUACACCUAUGUGUAACUAUGUAAUAUAUUGGCUAGUCACCUAAUCUGUGUCUGGGAAGGAUUAACCCUGACCAUAGCCCAGCCCAGCCAGGACAAGGACAGCCAAUCUAGCUUUUGGGGAGCUCUGCUGGAAGAGCAACUUUGAGCAUCACUGAACUGCAAACCAUCCCAGGAGGUGAAACCUUUUUGGCACACAAACUGUGGGAGACCUUUGGUGUCUGGACAGGAGUAUAAAGACCUUUACUGGUCCACAGCAGGGGUCACACCACAGGUGAAUCUCAUCACCAGUCCAACCUAAACUCCACUCAUGGCAACAAUCACAAAUGUGUUUUGAGACUCAAACAGAAAGGAAAAGAACAAAGCAUUGCUUAUAAAUGAUCUGAUGCAGCAGUUCCAGCCUGCCAGCUGUAAGGUAAGGAAGUAUUACCCUGCCCAUCGGUUAAGCCCAGGAAUGGGAUGCUCCUUUUAAAACUCAUCACCCUAGAACAUCUCCUCCUCCACCAUCAACUGUUCUCCCAAGAUCUGUUUAGAAAAACCAAGUCUACCACUCCCCUUCCAGCUUGCCCAUCUCUAUAUUUCGGUCGGUGAGGGAAAACAAGGCUGUCAGACCUACACCUCCUCUCCUUCCCUCCCUUCUGGAUAGAGUGCAGGUUUGGUUUUCAAGUCUGCUUCUCUUGGACUAACAUGCUCUGCCAAGUUGCUGUCAGGGACAAAAUCAAGAGCACUGAAAUGGCAGGAAAAAGCUGAUCCCACACGAUACAUGGGGGAAAGGCAAUCAAGGCCUCUGGAAAACAGACUCCUUCCUGGCUUUCCAGCUAUGUGCAUUUAUGAGGUUUGAAUAAAAUUCAGCUGAAGCAUGCA